GAAGAAUAAACCUUCCCUUUAGAUGCUAACGGAAGUUUGUGUCAUCUUUCCUGUAUCACAGCGUCAUGUUGAGAUGACAAAAUUACCACAUUACCCUCAGCCCCUCCAAGGUUGCCAGGCCAAUACAUCGAUGGACCGGGGUUGAAGGGUUACAAGUCCCAGGAGGUGUCAACCUCAUUACCCCAGAGUGGAUCAACCCAGCCCAGGGGGCUCUCUGAGUAUUUAGAGGAGCGCGUUGGUCCCACAAGGGUUCUGAUUCAAAUGCCAACAUCUGUCUGGCGACGGAGCCGGCGCCGAGACGGACCAGGACACCUUCAUCAGAGGUAUUCUCCAGCUGACAGAAGCCACAAGGUGGACGAAAUAAUGGUGCCAUAUUUGGAGAGAGGUAAUUGGGCCGCCGGACAUGGUCAGCAAUGUCACCGCCAUGGCCCUCCACCCCCCACCAUCCGACUCCUCCUUGCAGCUCGCUUGUCUUCUGCGGCGGCAGAGUCGAAGAAGAAAAAGCAGAUCGCCUUGUUUAUUCUCCCCUGCAAGGAAAUCCUUGCAAAACUUACAAAGCAUGAAAAAGGAAUGAAAGUUGAGGAGGAGCUACUUGUUUACAACUAUCACACUGACAUACGGAGGAGCAAACUGUAAUAAUUUUUUCAUAGCCACUUUCGCUGUCUGGAUGAAUUUAAAGCGCGGGUUUGGGUAGGUAAGAAUAUGGAAACAGUGGGAUUUAUAGGCGCGUUAUGGCGCCCUGAUGUGUUGUAAAAAGGACACUCUGGAAGAUAAGGAGAAAGCAAUUGUGUGGCAUGUGACUGAUGGGGAAAGGGGAUUCAAAUUGAGUCCUCAGCCAUAAAAUAAAUAACGUGGAUGUCAACCGAAGUGGGGAGGCAGAUAGAGGGGAGAAAACAGAAAGGCGACAAAGAUCUUCUCUGGCGGAAACCCGGAGGGCGCCGUACAGGCCGGCAGACGGAGGGCAUUGUGGGACUGUUAGAAGCAGGAGGGAUGCAGGUGCAACUGAGGGAUGAGUGUGGUUUUGCUGAGUGUGUGUGCCUGCACUGGCACAAGGGUGGGGGGUUGUAAUUGCCCCCGCAGAUGGGUGAAGAGUAAAAAAGCAGGGAGGUGGGGGGAACGACAGCACUGGUGCAAGAACGACUGUGUUAUGUGUUUUUGCUUUUACUGAGAAACCAAGAACAUGAAGUAAGGUAAAAGAAAAAGUCAAAGGAAACUACUGUAGGUUUAAUGAAUAAAGAAUGAAAAAGUUUAAAAUGGAUAAGGAAGUGCAUAAAUCAUGUCCAUUAUAGGAAUGGUUUACCCUAGGUUUAAUAAAGUAACCACCAUAUUGUUACUAAAGCUGACUCCUGCCACUUUGUGACAACUAUAGUGGUGUGGAGCAUGAGGUGGAGGAGGGAGGGUUGAUCCAAAGUAUCGAUGAUAUCAAUACCAAGUCAAUACAAGUAUCAGAUCGAUAUUAACGCGGGAAGAACAACACUUUAGUUUCAGAUUCCCUCUUGAAAU